rnacentral:rRNA from 1 species
UACGUAGGUGGCAAGCGUUAUCCGGAAUUAUUGGGCGUAAAGCGCUCGCAGGCGGUUUCUUAAGUCUGAUGUGAAAGCCCACGGCUCAACCGUGGAGGGUCAUUGGAAACUGGGAGACUUGAGUGCAGAAGAGGAGAGUGGAAUUCCACGUGUAGCGGUGAAAUGCGUAGAGAUGUGGAGGAACACCAGUGGCGAAGGCGACUCUCUGGUCUGUAACUGACGCUGAGGAGCCAAAGCGUGGGGAGCAAACAGGAUUAGAAACCCUAGUAGUCC